UCGGAAUUACUGGGCGUAAAGCGUGCGUAGGUGGUGUGUUAAGUAAAGUGUGAAAUCCCCGGGCUCAACCUGGGAACUGCAUUUGAUACUGGCAGGCUAGAGUGUGGUAGAGGGUAGUGGAAUUCCCGGUGUAGCGGUGAAAUGCGUAGAUAUCGGGAGGAACAUCAGUGGCGAAGGCGGCUACCUGGACCACAACUGACACUGAGGCACGAAAGCGUGGGGAGCAAACAG
rnacentral:rRNA from 1 species